UCCAUUUCUCUAACUUUCGUCUCUCUCUCUCAACCCUAGUUCUCUCUCAAAAAUACAUAAUCAAAACCCUAGCUCACAAUCUCAGACAGUAAAUACCGCAACUUGAUGGUUUGAAGGUGACGGCGACUUAGUGGUGACGACGACGGUGAUUUGGUUGUGACGGCGAUGGCGAGUUGGAGAGCCGUGGACUCGUGAACUUGAGGAAGCGAGUUGUUAAUCAGAUCAGCUAUGCUGGUGCCAGAACUACUACUAACUCACCUUCCCUCUGUGUCAGGAAUAUGAAAAUGGGGGAAAAGAGUCCACUUUUCUUGAGGUCUACGAAGAGACGCAUAGGAAGAAAAAGAAGGACGAUACAAACUAUGGAAGCGAUGAAAAAGCAAAUUGUGAAAUUGACGCAGCAAUGUGCAACUAACGAUGCUAAGUUUGCUAAAUUUGAGGAGUUGGUUAAGAAGCACAUGCCUCAAGUAUUUCAUGAUGAGGAAAAUAGUGAAUCUGAUGAUAACUAGAUUGUAGUUAUUGUUCUUGUUUUUUGGUUGUGACAUUUAGAGUUUAAUCUAUUUGAUUUGAUGUUUAUUUUGAAUGUUUUAAAGUGGUUGUAUUUAUAAUUUUUUGUCGUGUUUGAUCUUAUUGUGAAAAAUACAUUAGUUACGUUUAUAAUCUGAGAGCAGUGUAAGCUAAUGCAAGAUUUAAUUAUA